rnacentral:rRNA from 1 species
CCAAUAGCGUAUAUUAAAGUUGUUGCAGUUAAAAAGCUCGUAGUUGAAUUUUAGGCCUGGCCGGGCGGUCCGUCUUUGGCGAGUACUGUCCUGUGUCGGGUCCACCUUCUGGUGAACCAGUAUGUCCUUUAUUGGGUGUGCCGGGGAGCCAGGACCAUUACCUUGAAAAAAUUAGAGUGUUUAAAGCAGGCAUUUGCUUGAAUAGAUUAGCAUGGAAUAAUAGAAUAGGACGUUGUGGUUCUAUUUUGUUGGUUUCUAGGACCACCGUAAUGAUUAAUAGGGAUAGUCGGGGGCAUUAGUAUUCAAUUGUCAGAGGUGAAAUUCUUGGAUUUAUUGAAGACUAACUAUUGCGAAAGCAUUUGCCAAGGAUGUUUUCAUUAAUCAAGAACGAAAGUUAGGGGAUCGAAGACGAUCAGAUACCGUCGUAGUCUUAACCAUAAACUAUGCCGACUAGGGAUCGGGCGACGUUAUUUUCAUGACUCGCUCGGCGCCUUAUG